rnacentral:rRNA from 1 species
GAUGAACGCUGGCGGCGUGCUUAACACAUGCAAGUCGAACGAAGCACUUAUGAAAGAUUCUUCGGAUGAUGGAUUAAGUGACUGAGUGGCGGACGGGUGAGUAACGCGUGGGUAACCUGCCUCAUACAGGGGGAUAACAGUUAGAAAUGACUGCUAAUACCGCAUAAGCGCACAGUAUCGCAUGAUACCGUGUGAAAAACUCCGGUGGUAUGAGAUGGACCCGCGUCUGAUUAGCUAGUUGGUGAGGUAACGGCUCACCAAGGCGACGAUCAGUAGCCGGCCUGAGAGGGUGAACGGCCACAUUGGGACUGAGACACGGCCCAAACUCCUACGGGAGGCAGCAGUGGGGAAUAUUGCACAAUGGGGGAAACCCUGAUGCAGCGACGCCGCGUGAGUGAAGAAGUAUUUCGGUAUGUAAAGCUCUAUCAGCAGGGAAGAAGAUGACGGUACCUGACUAAGAAGCACCGGCUAAAUACGUGCCAGCCGCCGCCGUAAAAC